rnacentral:siRNA from 1 species
UUUGAAGGAGUCCACAUCCACC